AGUGACCUGCUGUGCCCGUGAUUGUGCGACAACGUCCCGGGCCAACACCCGAAUUUCGGGAGCACCAAUGUAGCGGUAAGGUGAUAGGCCUGAGCCAAGACCCCAACGCCGAUAGAGUUCCCACCUACUUAUGUAGGUCCGAGACUCCGUGCACACGGCAUGGUGGGUAUUUU
rnacentral:other from 1 species